UAUAUAUGCAAAUGAUUCUGGGUGGGCAUAUGCAAAUUAGUGUGUAUAUAUAUAUAUAUAUAUAUAUAUAUAUAUAUAUAUACACACUAAUUUGCAUAUGCCCACCCAGAAUCAUUUGCAUAUAUA